rnacentral:misc_RNA from 1 species
GAUGAAGAACGUAGCGAAAUGCGAUAAGUAGUGUGAAUUGCAGAAUUCAGUGAAUCAUCGAAUCUUUGAACGCACAUUGCGCCCCUUGGUAUCCCGAGGGGCAUGCCUGUUCGAGAGUCAUUUCACCACUCAAGCCUGGCUUGGUGUUGGGCGACGUCCUCUUUGGGGACGCGCCUCGAAACGCUCGGCGGCGUGGCACCGGCUUUAAGCGUAGCAGAAUCUUUCGCUUUGGAAGUCGGGGCCCCGUCUGCCGGAAGACCUGCUCGCAAGGUUGACCUCGGAUCAGGCAGGGAUACCCGCUGAACUUAAGCAUAUCAAUAAGCGGAGGA